rnacentral:misc_RNA from 1 species
UUAACGAAUUAAAUCUUAGUAUUCAGACUACAGUUACAGAAAAGUUUUGGUUUGGAGCCUCAGGCGGACUGACGAGGGCGACCGGUUAUGGCCAUCCAGCGCCGCCGAAGCAACGGGUAGUUUCACAAUGGUUUGGAAGGUGGGACGCCUUUCGGCAUCGAACUUUCUAAUGAUCCUUCCGCAGGUUCACCUACGGAAA